ensembl:misc_RNA
AGUUUACCCGUGUUUGAGUACCUGCUCCGUGAUAGAUAGGAAGCUGAGAGCCAGUUUCUGUUUCUUUAUACUAAAAAUAUUUUAACCUCUAAGAAACUCUUGCUGCAGUUCAUAUUAG